rnacentral:rRNA from 1 species
UACGUAGGGCGCAAGCGUUGUCCGGAAUUACUGGGCGUAAAGAGUGUGUAGGCGGUGCUCCAAGUCUGGUGUGAAAUCCCCCGGCUCAACUGGGGAACUGCACAGGAAACUGCGGGACUUGAGUUCGGGAGAGGGAAGCGGAAUUCCGGGUGUAGCGGUGAAAUGCGUAGAUAUCCGGAGGAACACCGGUGGCGAAGGCGGCUUCCUGGACCGACACUGACGCUGAGGCGCGAAAGCUAGGGGAGCAAACGGG